rnacentral:rRNA from 1 species
CCUACGGGAGGCAGCAGUAGGGAAUAUUGGUCAAUGGAGGCAACUCUGAACCAGCCAUGCCGCGUGUAGGAAGAAGGCGUUCUGCGUUGUAAACUACUUUUGAUUGGGAACAAAUGACUCUUGCGAGAGUAGCUGAGUGUACCAAUAGAAUAAGCCACGGCUAACUACGUGCCAGCAGCCGCGGUAAUACGUAGGUGGCAAGCGUUGUCCGGAUUUAUUGGGUUUUAAAAGGGUGCGUAGGCGGGCUUAAUAAGUCAGUGGUGAAAGCCGAUCGCUUAACGAUCGAACUGCCAUUGAUACUGCUAGGCUUGAGUAUAGUUGAGGUAGGCGGAAUUGACAGUGUAGCGGUGAAAUGCAUAGAUAUUGUCAAGAACACCAAUUGCGAAGGCAGCUUACUAAAGUAUAACUGACGCUGAGGCACGAAAGUGCGGGGAGUCAAACAGGAUUAGAUACCCUGGUAGUCCGCACCGUAAACGAUGAUCACUCGCUGUGUGUCGAGUAACUAACGUACGCGGCCGACGACGAAACGGAACGAGUAAGUAGUAAGUACCGUACCCGUUCGGGGUUAGGGGUACCGGUUACCCGGCCCGGAACGGGUUAACGGGUUAAACGGUUAAAACGUUAAGUUAAGUUAGGUUACGGACCGGUUGGAGGACGUUACGGACCGACCGGACCGGACCGACCGACGGGGAAGGGUUAGGUAG